CAGGUACCAUCAUUAGCUUACAUUUUUCAUUUCCCUUGUCACUUGAUUCUGUUUACCAUUUAUCAAAAUUUGUUUAAAAGUAUCUUCUUUAGGAAAAAUUUUCUCCAGCUGCAAAGAGACGUCCUCCAAAGAAAAACAUGCUUCUGGAUUUCCAAGAGAGAUUGUACUUAAAUUCUUCUGUGAAAGGUUGAGGUUAUCUGGAUGUGAGCCAUUUAUUGGGAAUUGAACAGAUGUUUGAGCAACUGGCUCAUUUCCAGCAUGCGGAAUGUCACAUAAAUGGGACUGGAGGAGAAGAAGUACAU
rnacentral:lncRNA from 13 species